GUGGGGAAUAUUGGACAAUGGGCGGAAGCCUGAUCCAGCAACGCCGCGUGAGGGAUGACGGCCUUCGGGUUGUAAACCUCUUUCAGCACCGACGAAGCGCAAGUGACGGUAGGUGCAGAAGAAGGACCGGCCAACUACGUGCCAGCAGCCGCGGUAAUACGUAGGGUCCGAGCGUUGUCCGGAAUUAUUGGGCGUAAAGGGCUCGUAGGCGGUUUGUCGCGUCGGGAGUGAAAACACCGGGCUUAACUCGGUGCUUGCUUUCGAUACGGGCAGACUGGAGGUAUGCAGGGGAGAACGGAAUUCCUGGUGUAGCGGUGAAAUGCGCAGAUAUCAGGAGGAACACCGGUGGCGAAGGCGGUUCUCUGGGCAUUACCUGACGCUGAGGAGCGAAAGUGUGGGGAGCGAACAGGA
rnacentral:rRNA from 1 species